GUUUUACUGUGUAUGUCCCUCUUAUUUUUUCAUAGGUGAUUCCUGAUAGAGCAACUGCAGCGGUUUCAUUCUUACAUGCCCUUUUGUCACAGUAAUAUUGAUCAAUCACAAUUGGAAGUUGGACCUCAGAAACUUGAAUGUUUGAGAACAGAACCCCCUGCACAGAGCCCGAUCCACCCUGCAGAUGUGAUUUGAAAUUAUAUGAAAGAAAAGUUACCAUCAACAUGAAGUUGUAAAAGAACUUAGAAUGUUAAGAACUUGCAUUAACGGCUUUUCUCUUGGUAAAAGCUAGGAUUUGUUGGACCUUUUAAAGAAAUGAAAUAACAUAUAAAGUUGUAGGGAAAACUCAAAUUACAUUCAGUUUUCAAAAUUUUCAGUAAAACUGAUAUUAAUUGAGAAGGGAGGUGAAUUCAAAACGAUCAAACUUAUUUGAAACUGUCAAAC
rnacentral:lncRNA from 1 species